AAAAAACAUUUCCAGCUUUAUUUUUUAGAAAAACAGAGAGCAGUUUGGUUCUCUCUUAGCCUUCAACUCCGGUCAACAGGGCCACCGCCUGUGCCGCCGUGACUCCGCCGUAGGCGAUGGUCGGAGCGACGCAAAGAUCGGGUCCUUCACCGAUUUAAAGGUCAUUUGAAGGUCGAAGCUUCUGGGCUCGAAAGCCGAAAGAAGAGAAACCCUAUGGCCUCCCUUCGGUCCCGAUUUCACCGACCAAGACGGUUCCGGCGACGGACCUUGCGUGCGGCCCUAGGUGUCAGACGAGGCCAACGGCGGUGGCAGAGGCAUGCUCGAGAAGACGAAGCGGCGCGCGUGGGCAGAGGCGGCCAACGGCGCCCUAGGGUUUCUCUUCUUCUGCUGAAAACAUUUGUUUGUGGGCUAGGGUUGUAUUGGGCUGGCAUCAUUGGGCUUUGGGUUUAUUUUUUGUAAAAUGGACUGUGACUGUUUUAUUUAAUUUGGUUUGUAUUGGGCCCCAGGCAAAAUUUGGGCUCUACAACUAUUAUAUCGAUUUUUUUAACUGCCA